ensembl:lncRNA DDX11-AS1 DDX11 antisense RNA 1
GCAUGCGCACUCCGGGACGCGCGCGAACACGCAGCAGCGAGAAUCUACAGGGGCGUGGUUUGCGCACGCGGGAACUGGGAUCUCAACCCCAGGGCUAGGUGCCUCCUCCCGCUGCUUUCCGCCAGCUGCGGGGUGUGAGAUUAAUCCCCGCCGAUUAGCGCCAGGUGUACUAAGCGCUGGAUGGUUCCCUGACCAGAUGAAACAUCAGCCGAUGUUCUAAUGCCGGUCCCCUGGGCGCUGUCCCCGAGAGGGAAAACCUGUUUUCUGACCCCGGCUCUAGUCGGCCUCUGGAGGUCUGCAGCUGGGUUAUUUUACCUUUGAAACGGACGACACCUGCCCCGUGCACCCCAGCGGCUCCUCCACACGGAGAGAUGGUGUCAGUCAAAGGCCGUCUAGAUGACGAGUUUAUGAAAUUGUUCCUGGCCCGUGCCGGGCACGACCUUGCAGAGAGCCCAGAAGAUGAAACCCCAGCCCUGCCAGGAGCUCACCUGCUAAUUAGGAGGACAACGAAUCACCUCACCUCCCUAGACUUUGCUUCUCCUUUAUUCAGUGAGGGAUUGGACUAGCUGGUCCUUGAGGACUUUUCAGAAAGUCUGGUUCUGGGAGAUGACCAAUGGGAUCAUCUUAUGCUAUGAGCUUUCCUGGAAUGACAGGUAAUGGAGAGUGAGGAGAUUUUACCUGAUAUGGUCCUGUUUGCACCAUCAGCCAGCAACCUUUCUGGGAAGCGUGCUUAUUAUGUACCAACAUAAAAGCUUGAAUAUAAGGAAUCUCACAUCUUCUGCCAGCAUCCUGAAACUAUGGCAGACUCACUUGUUAACUUUGCAAAUAAGGUCAAAUUUCAGAACCUUCACAGCUCCUGAUAGUCACCGUGUAAUAGAAGAUUAAAAGACAAGCUCAGCUCUUGUUCCAGUCAGCCUCAUUCCUCUGCCUACAAUACAAAAGUCACUCAAUCAUAUUCUUGUCUUAAAUUGAACAGUCCUUACAUGGUUAAGAAAAGGAGAAAUUCAUUGUAAGGAAUGUUUACAUUUUGUUUAUAAUUCCUGCAAGUGUAAUGUUUCAAAAGGUUUUCCUGUGGCUGAAGUACAUUUACCCUGUGUAGCUCUAGAGAAAUGAACUUACAAACUGAAAAAUUUCAGCUCAGUAUAUAAAGAAAAACAGAUUUUCACAAUUAGAUCUAUCCCAAAGAGAAUAAAUUUUGAGGUGAUAAGCUCACUGCUGGCUUAGAUCAUCACUUAUGGGACCUCUAAUGGGGCAGGGAUCAGACUAGAUGUGUACAAAGAUCUCUUCCAACUGAAGCUGCUACUGUGGAGGACGUUGUUUUCAGUGGACUCUCUAAUCAGAUUUAUUUUCAUACCAAGAAAUGAAGAAGGUGAGCUGGGGGAUGCAGCUGGGACUCAGAAGACUGCACGUGAUAGACUCAUGAGCUGAAGAUCUCGUGCUUAGUCUGGAGAAGCUCAUCAAGUCUAGCUCACUUUGGAGUAAGUUGGUGCUGGAGAAUGAAUUCAUGCUAACCAAAUUCACCAAGAGCCUGAUUUACAAAUGAGAGAGCCAAGGCCUUAAGUUUAGAGCAAAAGACAAACUUCCAAUGACUUUAGUUUUCUUGUCCAAUAUCUAGGGCACCUUCCCCUCUCCACCUGCUGUGUACACAGGAGAAAUAAUCACUCCACACCCGACUGAACAUUUUCUAACCUUAUCACUGUGGCAGAAACUGGCUACUCUUCCUCCUGGGUAGACAGCCAGGCUGUAUUUCCCCGCUGCCCCUGCAGUGAGAGGUAGCCAUUGGAGCCGGCGCAGGCCAAUGGACUCUGCACUGGAGUGACACAUGCUGCUUCCAGGCCUGUCCCUCAAACCUCCCACAUGUCCUCUGUCUGCUCUUCUCACUUCCAAGGAGUGUGACCAUCGUGGAAGCCCCAGGUUAGCAAUGGCAGAUUGGGAGGCAUCGAUGGGAGGAACCUGGGUCCCUGACUUAAAGCAUCAUGGAUUUGGACUUUCCGUUAUUGAGAAAUAAACUUCCAUUGUGUUUAAGCCUUU